CCGAUGCGCUGUUUUGUCAGGUAUAGAGAAUCACCAAUGUAGAUCACAGGGCCAGGGGAGUGCAGGGGUUAAUAAUAGGCCGAGGCUGGUGUACUGCUUCACCAGGUGUAGAGAGUGACAUCCACUGUUCCCAGCGCAGGAAAGAUGGAAGGGUUAAUGACAGGCUGAAGCUGGGUCACUGUUGCGUCAGGCACAGAGAUUAAUGGUGGUAGGUCACAGAGUUGGAGGCAUACAGGGGUUAAUGACAGGCUAGAGGCGAUGCACUAUUUUGCAGAAACAUGGAGUGAUGAUGCAGUUCACAGAUCCAAAGGAAUGCAGUGGGUGAUGACAGGUAGAAAUUGAUUCACUGCAGGUAUAGGGAAUGCUGGUGGGAUUCUCAAAGCACAGAGUAGGGGGAGUGCAGGGGUUAAUGUCCGGCCGCAGCCGAGUCACUGCUCUGGCAGGCACAGGGAUGGAUGGUGCAGUGAGUGAUUUAGAAGCUGUCCUGUAUCAUGGCCGAGGAAAUGAGCUGUAUGGAGGCAGCCUCUUAUCAGUAGCGAGGCUGUCUGGCUUCUCCGCUAUCUACUCCGCUCCCCCGUUCACUGUACUGAGAGCCUCGGCUGCCGCCCUGUCAGUUCACCGAAGCUGUGCUCCCACAGUAUCUUUACCAGGUCAGGGAAGAUGGCGGCCGUCCCUGAGUUGCCGUGCGCUCCUCCGGGCACCCCGUCCUUCUCGCCGGCUGCGUAACAGGGGGACUCACAGCCUCCCCACGACCUCCGGGACCUCAGAUGGCAAGAUGCACUAUUUCCAGGAUGUGGAGUAGCAUUUCCGGACUAUCAAGACGUUGUAAUAAGGCACAUAUUUCCGGACUUACAGCAAGAAGUUGGAUGAAGGCAUAAACCCUCGAAUCACGCACAUACACAGACACUUUGCCCAAAUUCUAGAGGUAACCUCCUUUAGUAUGCCCAGAGGAAGGGCAAUACAGUAGCCAUGGAUUCCCUACAGGUUUCCUCCCCUCUGGAGGUUUUUCCUGUCCUGAGUUAGUUACUGUACGCUCUUUGUGAGUGAUGGAAGGUUACAUAAAUCCCCUACACAAACAUUUUAAUAAAUAAUAAAGUUCCCCUGUUUUUAAACCGUU